GUACACUCCUACGGGAGGCAGCAGUGGGGAAUUUUGGACAAUGGGCGAAAGCCUGAUCCAGCCAUGCCGCGUGCAGGAUGAAGGCCUUCGGGUUGUAAACUGCUUUUGUACGGAACGAAACGGCCUUUUCUAAUAAAGAGGGCUAAUGACGGUACCGUAAGAAUAAGCACCGGCUAACUACGUGCCAGCAGCCGCGGUAAUACGUAGGGUGCAAGCGUUAAUCGGAAUUACUGGGCGGAAAGCGUGCGCAGGCGGUUAUGUAAGACAGUUGUGAAAUCCCCGGGCUCAACCUGGGAACUGCAUCUGUGACUGCAUAGCUAGAGUACGGUAGAGGGGGAUGGAAUUCCGCGUGUAGCAGUGAAAUGCGUAGAUAUGCGGAGGAACACCGAUGGCGAAGGCAAUCCCCUGGACCUGUACUGACGCUCAUGCACGAAAGCGUGGGGAGCAAACAGGAUUAGAAACCCCAGUAGUCCCA
rnacentral:rRNA from 1 species